AUCUAGUGAUGUUUGUGAUAUGUAUUCACCUGUACAUUUAUAAAACAUGGUCGAUAUGUUUAGCAUACGACAAUACUACCUACGGCUCUAUUAAAAUGUGCUCUAGGAAAGAGAAUAAAGCACUUCCUUCUUGAAAAUCAUCGAGUGUAGUUGGUUAUAGUUGAUCAUCCGAAUCCUGAAAAUUAAAAAAGAAAAUUAAAUUAAUAGACAUAAAAAGUGGCGACGAGGAGAAAUUUAUUUUGAUAAAGUGAGAUCUUGAGCGCGAUAACGUUGGUGGUAAAAAUUUGGAGUGAUUUUUACGGAACGAGCGGCAAGGGUCGACGAAUUAAAUUAUAAGACGACAACGUGUCCCGUGGAAGGGCAGCCAUUGAGCUUUUAGGCUUGGAUGAAGCAGCGGACAAGUGAAACAUUUCCUGUGGAAGCAGUUUUCGGUUGCUGAAAGGCGACACUAUUGUGUUGGCCUUGGAAGGUGUCCAAUCAACGGUAGCGGUGGGACGGACAUCACACGUUUCAGAGCAGAGUGGAAAUUAGAUACGGCUGGAGUUUUCAGCGGCCAUCGUGAUUUGUCGUAGGGUUAGCAUCUUCGUAUUCGCAGACCCUGUCAGCUUGGAGCGAAAUCAAUCUUCAGUUUAGCAACGCCAUCGCACGGCAUCACAUUCAUCUUAUCAUGUCAGUUGUAUGGGAGAUUCGAUGCGGACUCGCCUGAUGGCGCCCUGCUCACAAAAAAGGAUGUUGCCAAAUAUUUGUUCGGAAAAUGCGAGAGCUGGAUAUCUUGUUAAUAUGAUGUCUUUGGUAUUCGGUAGAAUAUUGAUAAAGGUCUCGUUUCGGACAGUGGUUGAGGAAGAUAACAAAAAUUUCACACGGAAGAGUUGUGUUAAAAGAUUUUUUUCGGUAAAAUUGCUGACAAAGGUCGGACAUAGUAUCUGGUAAGUCAUUUAUGAUUAUUUUAUGCAAAGUGAAGCCGAUUGAUGAGACAUUUCGUUUUUUCCCAUUUCAUAUUUUUCCCCAUUGAUUGAUUGAUAUUGAACAUUGUUAUUCCGUUUAUUGGGCAUGAUAAUUUGAUUAUUUAUAUUGUUAUAGUUGUUUUUU